rnacentral:rRNA from 1 species
AGAAUCAACGCUGGCGGCGUGCCUAACACAUGCAAGUCGAACGAGAAAGCUGGUAGCAAUACCGGUGAGUAAAGUGGCGUACGGGUGAGUAACACGUGGAUAACCUACCUUCGAGUGGGGAAUAACCCUGGGAAACCGGGGCUAAUACCGCAUAAUAUCCUGAUGCGAUGGCAACGGGAUUGAAUCCUGGAAACGGGGCUCAAAGAGGGGUCCGCGGCUGAUUAGCUAGUUGGUGAGGUAAUGGCCCACCAAGGCUAUGAUCGGUAGCCGGCCUGAGAGGGCGGACGGCCACACUGGAACUGAAACACGGUCCAGACUCCUACGGGAGGCAGCAGUGGGGAAUUUUGCGCAAUGGGGGAAACCCUGACGCAGCAACGCCGCGUGGACGAUGAAGCUUCUUGGAGUGUAAAGUCCUUUCGGCAGGGACGAAACUGGGCAACCAGCGGACGGUACCUGAAGAAGAAGCCCCGGCUAACGUCCGCGCCAGCAGCCGC